rnacentral:rRNA from 1 species
GACGAACGCUGGCGGCGUGCUUAACACAUGCAAGUCGAACGGACAGGCCCUGCUUUUGUGGGUUGCUCGAUUGGCGAGCGGGUGAGUAACACGUGAGUAUCCUGCCCUUGACUUUGGGAUAACUUCAGGAAACUGGGGCUCAUACCGGAUAGGAGCUCCUGCUGCAUGGUGGGGGUUGGAAAGUUUCGGCGGUUGGGGAUGGACUCGCGGCUUAUCAGCUUGUUGGUGUGGUAGUGGCUUACCAAGGCUUUGACGGGUAGCCGGCCUGAGAGGGUGACCGGCCACAUUGGGACUGAGAGACGGCCCAGAAGCGUACGGGAGGCAGCAGUGGGGAAUAUUGCACAAUGGGCGGAAGCCUGAUGCAGCAACGCCGCGUGCGGGAUGACGGCCUUCGGGUUGUAAACCGAUUUCGACUGUGACGAAGCGUGAGUGACGGUAAUGGGUAAAGAAGCACCGGCUAACUACGUG